AAAGUGCUGGGAUUACAGGUGUGAGCCACCGUGCCUGGCAAGCUUAUUUGCAAAGCAUCAUCUAAAACCCUAGAAAGGAGACAGGGUCUCUCUUUGUUGCCUAGGCUGGAGUGCAGUGGAACGAACUUGGCUUAUUGAAGCAUUGACCACCUGGACCCAAGUGAUUCUCCUACCUUAGCCUCUUGAAUAGCUGUGACAACAGAUGAAGAAAAUGAGGCACUGAGAGAUUACAUAACUUCCCUUGAGUCAUAUUUGCUUGUAAGUGGUAAGGCUGGAUGUUGAACCCAGGACAAAGGGAGCCCAGUGGAGGAUCCCUGGAGGAGCAAAUAGAAGAAACCCAAAAGGGACUUGAAAGCGGGUCCCCUCCCUCACCUGGAUUCCCAGUCCGAAGAGGAGGAAGCAUCCGCCCUCCUUCCCUCCUUCUGACCCACCCAGCCACCCACCCAAGGUGCCAUUAAAGUUAAU
rnacentral:lncRNA from 1 species